UACAUAGGGGGCAAGCGUUAUCCGGAUUUACUGGGUGUAAAGGGAGCGCAGACGGCAGUGCAAGUCUGGAGUGAAAGCCCGGGGCCCAACCCCGGAACUGCUCUGGAAACUGUGCGGCUAGAGUACUGGAGGGGCAGGCGGAAUUCCUAGUGUAGCGGUGAAAUGCGUAGAUAUUAGGAGGAACACCAGUGGCGAAGGCGGCCUGCUGGACAGUAACUGACGUUGAGGCUCGAAAGCGUGGGGAGCAAACAGG
rnacentral:rRNA from 1 species